GAUGAACGCUGGCGGCGUGCCUAAUACAUGCAAGUCGAGCGAACAGACGAGGAGCUUGCUCCUCUGACGUUAGCGGCGGACGGGUGAGUAACACGUGGAUAACCUACCUAUAAGACUGGGAUAACUUCGGGAAACCGGAGCUAAUACCGGAUAAUAUAUUGAACCGCAUGGUUCAAUAGUGAAAGACGGUUUUGCUGUCACUUAUAGAUGGUUCCCGGCCGCAUUAGCUAGUUGGUAAGGUAACGGCUUACCAAGGCAACGAUGCGUAGCCGACGUGAGAGGGUGAUCGGCCGCACUGGAACGGAGACACGGUCCAGACUCCUACGGGAGGCAGCAGUAGGGAAUCGUCCGCAAUGGGCGAAAGCCUGACGGAGCAACGCCGCGUGAGUGAUGAAGGUCUUCGGAUCGUAAAACUCUGUUAUUAGGGAAGAACAAAUGUGUAAGUAACUAUGCACGUCUUGACGGUACCUAAUCAGAAAGCCACGGCUAACUACGUG
rnacentral:rRNA from 1 species